rnacentral:rRNA from 1 species
GCACGGGGUGGUUUCGGCCAUUCAGUGGCGGACGGGUGAGUAACGCGUAGGUAUCUAUCCUUGGGUGGGGGAUAACCGUGGGAAACUACGGCUAAUACCGCAUGAUGUCUGAGGACCAAAGGCGUAAGUCGCCUGGGGAGGAGCCUGCGUUCGAUUAGCUAGUUGGUGGGGUAAAGGCCUACCAAGGCGAUGAUCGAUAGCUGGUCUGAGAGGAUGAUCAGCCACACUGGGACUGAGACACGGCCCAGACUCCUACGGGAGGCAGCAGUGGGGAAUAUUGGACAAUGGGCGCAAGCCUGAUCCAGCAAUGCCGCAUGAGUGAAGAAGGUCUUCGGAUUGUAAAGCUCUUUCGGCGGGGACGAUGAUGACGGUACCCGCAGAAGAAGCCCCGGCUAACUUCGUGCCAGCAGCCGCGGUAAUACGAAGGGGGCUAGCGUUGCUCGGAAUGACUGGGCGUAAAGGGCGCGUAGGCGGUUUGGACAGUCAGAUGUGAAAUUCCCGGGCUUAACCUGGGGGCUGCAUUUGAGACGUCCAGGCUUGAGUGUGAGAGAGGGUUGUGGAAUUCCCAGUGUAGAGGUGAAAUUCGUAGAUAUUGGGAAGAACACCGGUGGCGAAGGCGGCAACCUGGCUC